AUACAGAGGUGCAAGCGUUAAUCGGAAUUACUGGGCGUAAAGCGCGCGUAGGCGGUUUAAUCAGUCGGAUGUGAAAGCCCCGGGCUCAACCUGGGAACUGCAUUCGAUACUGUUAAGCUAGAGUAUGGUAGAGGGAAGUGGAAUUCCAGGUGUAGCGGUGAAAUGCGUAGAUAUCUGGAGGAACAUCAGUGGCGAAGGCGACUUCCUGGACCAAUACUGACGCUGAGGUGCGAAAGCGUGGGGAGCAAACAGGAUUAGAAACCCCAGUAGUCC
rnacentral:rRNA from 1 species